rnacentral:lncRNA from 1 species
CCGCGGGAGAGGUGCCGCCCUCAGGGGAGCGCGUGAAGGGGGAAUCCCCCAAAAACCCCAAACGCGAAUGGGAUCCAAACCCCCACCGGUGCUUCCCGCAGCCGGGCCCGAGGCCCGGCAGGUCCCUACCCCAGCCGUGCUGAGGCUCAUCCCGCGGGGAUCGCGGCCUCUCGUUCGCCAUCGGCGGCCUCCACGUCGCAGGUGUUGGCGCUCGGGACUCUGAGGAGAGCUUCACCCUGAAGUCCUGGAGUGAGGGUCCCACCUGAGCUGCGGCCAAGCACAAUGAACGUUGUGUUAACAGAUGGACAGGCCUGGAGUCAGUAGAGCGUGCCUGAGUGUGAGUGCUGAGAGCAGAACUUGCAGGUCUGGGCUGGAGCAGCAUCCCCAGCAGAGCGAGCCCAAGGAAGGAUGGUGGCUCAGCUGCAGUUUCUUCCCGUGGUCCUCUUCUUGGUGAAAAACAGGGAUACAGCCUGGAGUUACUCUGAAAGGAUAAAGCAUCCUCCUGUGCAGCCCAGUGUGUUGGUGCUCUCUGACGGGGUCCGUGUCUCUUGGCAAAUGAAGUCCCGUUUGUAGCUGCAGAGACAUGGCUGCUGAAGGCUCCUGGUAGUACCACUAAGGAAACAAUAUAUACCUAAAUACUCCCUUUUAUUCAGAUUUUUAUAAGCAUUUUGCUUUACUGGGAAAGAUCUUCAGCUAUUUUAAAUUUGGAAGGUGUCCACCAAAGUGACAGCAGCUCUACCAACUUACACCAGCUGAGGAGCUUGGCUCCAAAGUGUGCUUAGGGGGAAAAAAGUAAACUUGUGGUGUAGGAAUCCUUUUGUUAAUACAAUUACCGUAUUUUGUGUUUACAGCAUUUUUAAAAGUUCUGUUAAAAAUAAAUUCCUGAAGUCCUGGAUAAAUAAAUACUGUACAGAAGAGUUCUCUGUAGCCACAAAGGUGCCAAAAAUUAUCAGUAAUCCUCAGUCAGAUGGAAUGUACAGUUGGCCAGGGGAUGGCAGGAAAAAGUCCUCACCAGUUCUGCCUCAUAUUCCCAUACAAUGAGAGAUGCCAAGUUUUUCUGUUAGUGUCUGUGAUGCAGUUGAAGAUGGGAGUGUUUGUCAUUACAGAGACCUUGUUUUGGUUAAAUAACUAGUGAAGGGCUCAGUUCAGUUGCAUAUUUUUCCAUCACUAGAUGUUGAUUUCACAUGAGCUGCUUUAUUUUGUUGAUGAAAUUUGACACUCAUUUCUUCUCCCUCUGCAUUUAACUCAGUAUAGGUCAAAACAUAUACUAUGCAAAUGAAGAACCACAAGUCCAGCCCACUAGUAAUGUGGUUUUAAAGUCAUGAAUAAAAAUAAAAAUUAUUUACAGGCUAGUCUGGGGCAAUAUAUGCCUUGAAAACUGACAUCCAGGAUCCUGGCAGCUGCUGUAUGUAUUUAUUUAGUCUUUUACACUGUCA